CUGGAAAGGCGCGCGAUACAGGGUGACAGCCCCGUACACAAAAAUGCACAUAUUGUGAGCUCGAUGAGUAGGGCGGGACACGUGGUAUCCUGUCUGAAUAUGGGGGGACCAUCCUCCAAGGCUAAAUACUCCUGACUGACCGAUAGUGAACCAGUACCGUGAGGGAAAGGCGAAAAGAACCCCGGCGAGGGGAGUGAAAAAGAACCUGAAACCGUGUACGUACAAGCAGUGGGAGCACGCUUAGGCGUGUGACUGCGUACCUUUUGUAUAAUGGGUCAGCGACUUAUAUUCUGUAGCAAGGUUAACCGAAUAGGGGAGCCGAAGGGAAACCGAGUCUUAACUGGGCGUUAAGUUGCAGGGUAUAGACCCGAAACCCGGUGAUCUAGCCAUGGGCAGGUUGAAGGUUGGGUAACACUAACUGGAGGACCGAACCGACUAAUGUUGAAAAAUUAGCGGAUGACUUGUGGCUGGGGGUGAAAGGCCAAUCAAACCGGGAGAUAGCUGGUUCUCCCCGAAAGCUAUUUAGGUAGCGCCUCGUGAAUUCAUCUCCGGGGGUAGAGCACUGUUUCGGCAAGGGGGUCAUCCCGACUUACCAACCCGAUGCAAACUGCGAAUACCGGAGAAUGUUAUCACGGGAGACACACGGCGGGUGCUAACGUCCGUCGUGAAGAGGGAAACAACCCAGACCGCCAGCUAAGGUCCCAAAGUCAUGGUUAAGUGGGAAACGAUGUGGGAAGGCCCAGACAGCCAGGAUGUUGGCUUAGAAGCAGCCAUCAUUUAAAGAAAGCGUAAUAGCUCACUGGUCGAGUCGGCCUGCGCGGAAGAUGUAACGGGGCUAAACCAUG
rnacentral:rRNA from 1 species